CUGAAAUCAUGCUGAAGGUAAUGUUUGUGCUUGGAUGUCUCCUGAGCCUGGCUCUGGCCAAGCCGGCUGAUGAAAAACACCAUCGACUUGCACGCUCAGAUUCUAGCUCUGAAGAGGCUUCUUCCAACAAUGGCUUGACCACAAGUAACUUGUUAGAGUUAAUCAGACUCCUGCUUCAAAUACAAACUACGACAACUGCAGCUACCACUACAACGACUACAGCUGCCACUACAAAAUAAAACCUGACAUGUAACCAGCGCUCAAUAAGUGAAUGAAAACUGUUGUCACAUCAUCACAUCAUUCUAAAUGAAUGUGAUGAUCAGCAUCACUUUAUUCUCUGUUUUAUCUGAUAAAUAAAC